UGGAGAGUCAACGAAUAGCGGCCAUUGUUACAAAUCUUCAAGAUGGUCUAUCAUCGCUCUUCGUAGUUAUUGUUUAUCAAAUCUCAGCAGCAUAUACAGGUUAUUACACUAUGAUAACGUUUUGCACUGCAGCUUCAAUAGAGGGUUUAAUGCUACUAUGGACAUCUGCAUCAUCAACCAAACCUUCCACAUUUCGUGCGGUCUAU
rnacentral:sRNA from 1 species